AGAGUUUGAUCCUGGCUCAGGAUGAACGCUAGCGGGAGGCUUAAUACAUGCAAGUCGAGCGGUAAGUCUAGAAUAGCAAUAUUUUGGAUCUAGAGCGGCGCACGGGUGAGUAACGCGUACACAACCUACCCUAUACUGGGGGAUAGUCUUGGGAAACUGAGAAUAAUCCCGCAUGUGAUUAUUGAUAAGAUUUAUUAAUAAUUAAAGCUACGGCGGUAGAGGAUGGGUGUGCGUCUGAUUAGCUAGUUGGUAGGGUAACGGCCUACCAAGGCGACGAUCAGUACGGGGCGUGAGAGCGUGACCCCCCACACGGGUACUGAGACACGGACCCGACUCCUACGGGAGGCAGCAGUGAAGGAAUAUUGGUCAAUGGAGGGAACUACUGAACCAUGCUAUCCCGCGUGCAUGAUGAAGGGGCUUUGCCUUGUAAACUGCUUUUGAAUGGGACUGAAAAAUGUGGAUUUAUCCAUCCCUGACGGUACCAUUAGACUAAGCACCGGCUAACUCCGUGCCAGCAGCCGCGGUAAUACGGAGGGUGCAAGCAUCUCCGGAAUCACUGAGUUUAAAGGCUGCGUAAGCGGUAUGAUAAGUCAGUGGUGAACUGCCGUAUCUUACUAUGGGAUCGCCGAUCGAUACUGUAAUACUGGAAUGAUGGUUGAGGUCGGCGGAAUGUGACAUGCAGCCGUGAAAUGCCUAAUAUAUGUUAUGGUAAACCCUGAUUGCCGAAGGCGCCUGACUUGAAGCUUGACUUGAUCGCCGUAGGCCCCAAAUGCCUUGGGUACCCACCUGGAGUCGGAAUUCCUGGUUAUU
rnacentral:rRNA from 1 species